rnacentral:lncRNA from 1 species
AUGCUGAUAUGUAAAAGUUCAGAAAGGAGGUGUUUAAUAACAUCUAGGAUUAUAGCACCAGCAGCUUCUCCAGCGGCAAAGCACCAAAGCCUAAUCCAUAAUAAUUACUUAAAGGUGUUGUUGAUCUUACACAUGGAAGGAAUUAGAGGGGACGAAAAUGUGAAAGGGAUUUCUUUGUUUAAUAUGAAUCACUUCAUUGUCAUGGGAAGUAAUAGCAUCUCAUUUUGUGGAGAAUCUGAGCUUGAGGCUCUAUUUUUGGGUGUGUUGUUUAAGGCAUAA